CCUGCCAAGGAGAAGAGUCAGGACAUCCCUGCCGGCCCGUGCCCCCAGCCAAGUGCAGACCAGGGUUCCACUGUGGGACCCAGAGGAAGGGCAGAGGUGCUGUGAGGGCGCGUGUCCGCCAGACGGCGCCAGAGGGCCAGCAGAGCCCUGGGUCUCCCUGGCUCAGAAGGGGAUGGAGCGGAGGGAACCUCGAGGAAGCGCCCGGAGCCGUGUGUGUGUGUGCGUGUGCGUGCGUGUGCGUGCGUGUGUGUGUGUGUGUGUGUGGCACCUGUGACCCCGUGGCCCCGUUUGCCUCCACUCAGUGAGGGGAUGUGUCGAAUUCAAUCCCCGUCCGGCCGGGUGGCCCCAAGAUCAGGGAGAUGGACAGGCUGUCCGGGAGAGCUCCACACCUUACCUGCUCCGUCCCAUUCCACCUGAGCCUCUUCCUCCUCUGGUACACACUUGCGCCAAGGAUCCUACGUGUAAAGGUGAAGAACUCCUGUGAAGUCCUGGAUCUCAUUCGAGUUUCCAGGGCCAAACGGAUAUAUCCUCAGUCCCUCCUGUGUGCCCUCUGUCUGCUUUUACUCUUUCCAUGCUCGGUCGCCAGUUCAACUUUUCUUGGGCCAAAGAGUGUACAACCUUGUUUCUAGAACACUGCAUUCCCAGUAUUCUAGCCAACUAUUUUUGGAUUUGAAUUUCUGUCUCUGCAGAAUCUAAAGGGAGUGAGGAUGCUGACAGCCUGUCGAAGUGCCUGGACUUCAGGCUACCCUAGCUAUCUGAAUGAGACCCACUGAUGUGAAGGCAGAACCAUGCAAUGCCGUUUCUAUUAGAUGAGGUCACUUCGACUGGAGAAUCAGGUGUGACCUGUAACAUACCCCUGCUUGCUAGGCACAUCCUGGCGGGAUUUAAUAGCCUCAUCUUGAACCCCAUCUCUGAGCUGGGAUAUGCCAAUAGCAAGCAAGUUGCUCUGCUCUGUCACUGAUCUCUGGUGGCCAUGCUCUCCAGUAACAACUCAGAGCCCUUCCUCCUGCCUCCUGACCAAACCCACCGAUGGACUGCCCUGGCUUUGUGUGACGGCCAGCUCUGAUUUCGACCCUACUCUCACCCUGAGAACUGCCAUGUGCCACCUUAAAAAGGGCAGUAUUUCCCUCUCAUAGUCUCCUAGGACACUCUCCCUCAUCCCUCCCUCUGCAACACAACUCUAGUCCAUCAGUAGAUCCCAUUCUCACUCCCUUUAGAUUCUGCAGAGACAGAAAUUCAAACCCAAAAUUAGUUGGCUUGAAUACUGUGCAUGCAGUCUUCUAGGAACAGGGUUGCACAUUCUUUGGCCCCGGAAAGCUGGGCUGGUGGCCGUGAAUUGAAAGUGUAAAAGCAGACAGAGGUCACUCAGUGGGGAGGCUGCAUGUAUCCCUUUGGCUCUGGUACCCCGCUUGAGAUUGGGGGUGACUGACAGGAAGCACUGGCUUAGGUAGAAAAAUUAAAAGGAACUGACACCACACCCGAACAAACCUGCAUGCCCAACACUCAAAGGAAAUGCUUUUGGAUUCAGGGUUGUACCACUGGAGACUCCAAAGGCAUUCAGACCCCAAACAGCCUGUCAAAUCGCCUGGUCUUUGGGCUUUUCCACCAGUAUGGAAGUGACCCCUAGUCAUGAAGGAAGAACUAUGUACCCACUAUCAGGAGAGGCAUUAUGGGAGUUCCUGUCGUGGCGCAGUGGUUAACGAAUCCGACUAGGAACCAUGAGGUUGCGGGUUCGAUCCCUGCCCUUACUCAGUGGAUUAAUGAUCCAGCGUUGCCGUGAGCUGUGGUGCAGGUGGCAGAUGCGGCUCGGAUCCUGAGUUGCUGUGGCUCUGGUGUAGGCUGGCAGCCACAGCUCCAAUUAGACCACUAGCCUGGGAACCUCCAUAUGCUGGGCUCUGGGGUAGGCUGGCAGCUACAGCUCUGAUUAGACCGCUAGCCUGGGACCCUCCAUAUGCCGCGGGUGCGGCCCUAGAAAAGGAAAAAAAAAAAAAAAAAAAAAAAAAAAAAGGAGAGGCAUUUUGGACCUGAAAGUCAGAAGCAACCUGUAACUCACUUUUCCUUGCUGGACACACCACCGGGGCUUCCGUCCGCACCAUCUCCAAGCCUAGAAGUGCCAACGCCAAGCAGCAAGGGGGCUCCUUGUCCUCUAUUGGCUGUUAGCUCCAGCAACAAUUCAGACCCCAUCUUUUGGUCUCCGGAUCCCACCUCAUUCUGUCUGGAUGGCUCUUGAGCACCUGUAGCCUGAUUCGGUCCUCCUCCACCUC
ensembl:lncRNA